GCAGUAGCAGGCAUACUGUCUAGGGGACAGCUGCUCUGCUUUUGCACCCUGCUCUAGGAGGAGGAGGCGGUGACCGUGGCGGCGACGAUGCAUUUGGAUGUCUGCCCUAUCAACUUUCGGUGUUACUUUCUGUGCCUACCGUGGUGACCACGGGUUACGGGAAUCAGUAUUCGAUUCCGGAGAGGGAGCCUGAGAAACGGCUACCACAUCCAAGGAAGGCAGCAGGCGUGCAAGUUACCCACUCCCGACGCGGGGAGGUAGUGAC